rnacentral:rRNA from 1 species
GUAGGUGGCAAGCGUUGUCCGGAUUUACUGGGCGUAAAGCGCGCGCAGGCGGCUCGCCAAGUCUGGGGUGAAAUCUCCCGGCUCAACCGGGAGGGGUCUCUGGAUACUGGCGAGCUUGAGGGGAGCAGAGGAGAGUGGAAUUCCAGGUGUAGCGGUGAUAUGCGUAGAUAUCUGGAGGAACACCAGUGGCGAAAGGCGGCUCUCUGGGCUCUCCCUGACGCUGAGGCGCGAAAGCGUGGGGGGAGCGAACCGGAUUAGAUACCCGGGUAGUCCACGCCGUAAACGUUGGGCACUAGGUGUGGGGGGGUAUUGACCCCCCCCUCCGUGCCGCAGUUAACGCGAUAAGUGCCCCGCCUGGGGAGUACGGCCGCAAGGCUAA